rnacentral:misc_RNA from 1 species
GAUGAAGAACGCAGCGAAAUGCGAUAAGUAAUGUGAAUUGCAGAAUUCAGUGAAUCAUCGAAUCUUUGAACGCACAUUGCGCCCGCCAGUAUUCUGGCGGGCAUGCCUGUUCGAGCGUCAUUUCAACCCUCAAGCACAGCUUGGUGUUGGGACUCGCGUUAAUUCGCGUUCCCCAAAUUGAUUGGCGGUCACGUCGAGCUUCCAUAGCGUAGUAGUAAAACCCUCGUUACUGGUAAUCGUCGCGGCCACGCCAUUAAACCCCAUCUUCUGAAUGUUGACCUCGGAUCAGGUAGGAAUACCCGCUGAACUUAAGCAUAUCAAUAAGCGGAGGA